rnacentral:rRNA from 1 species
UACGUAGGGUGCGAGCGUUAAUCGGAAUUACUGGGCGUAAAGCGUGCGCAGGCGGUUCUCCAAGUCCGGUGUGAAAGUCACAGGCUCAACCUGUGAAUGCCGCUGGAAACUGUCUGGCUUGAGUCCGGAAGAGGCGAGUGGAAUUCCCGGUGUAGCGGUGAAAUGCGCAGAUAUCGGGAGGAACACCAAUGGCGAAGGCAGCUCGCUGGGACGUGACUGACGCUGAGACGCGAAAGCGUGGGGAGCAAACAGG